rnacentral:rRNA from 1 species
AGGCAGCAGUGGGGAAUAUUGCACAAGUCGGGGGAAACCCUGAUGCAGCCAUGCCGCGUGUGUGAAGAAGGCCUUCGGGUUGUAAAGCACUUUCAGGUAGGGAGGAAGGUAGUGUAGUUAACACCUGCAUUAUUUGACGUUACCUACAGAAGAAGCACCGGCUAACUCCGUGCCAGCAGCCGCGGUAAUACGGAGGGUGCGAGCGUUAAUCGGAAAUUACGUGGGACGUAAAGCGCAUGCAGGCGGCCUGUUAAGUCAGAUGUGAAAGCCCCGGGGCUUAACCUCGGAAUUGCAUUUGAAACUGGCAGGCUAGAGUCUUGUAGAGGGGGUAGAAUUUCAGGUGUAGCGGUGAAAUGCGUAGAGAUCUGAAGGAAUACCAGUGGCGAAGGCGGCCCCCUGGACAAAGACUGACGCUCAGAUGCGAAAGCGUGGGGAGCAAACAGGAUUAGAUACCCUGGUAG